AUUUGUAUAGUUUAAAAUAAAACAUUACAGUUUCAUUGUAAAAUUAGAGUACACCUUACAAAUA
rnacentral:tRNA from 1 species